AACAGACGAGGAGCUUGCUCCUCUGACGUUAGCGGCGGACGGGUGAGUAACACGUGGAUAACCUACCUAUAAGACUGGGAUAACUUCGGGAAACCGGAGCUAAUACCGGAUAAUAUAUUGAACCGCAUGGUUCAAUAGUGAAAGACGGUUUUGCUGUCACUUAUAGAUGGAUCCGCGCCGCAUUAGCUAGUUGGUAAGGUAACGGCUUACCAAGGCAACGAUGCGUAGCCGACCUGAGAGGGUGAUCGGCCACACUGGAACUGAGACACGGUCCAGACUCCUACGGGAGGCAGCAGUAGGGAAUCUUCCGCAAUGGGCGAAAGCCUGACGGAGCAACGCCGCGUGAGUGAUGAAGGUCUUCGGAUCGUAAAACUCUGUUAUUAGGGAAGAACAAAUGUGUAAGUAACUAUGCACGUCUUGACGGUACCUAAUCAGAAAGCCACGGCUAACUACGUGCCAGCAGCCGCGGUAAUACGUAGGUGGCAAGCGUUAUCCGGAAUUAUUGGGCGUAAAGCGCGCGUAGGCGGUUUUUUAAGUCUGAUGUGAAAGCCCACGGCUCAACCGUGGAGGGUCAUUGGAAACUGGAAAACUUGAGUGCAGAAGAGGAAAGUGGAAUUCCAUGUGUAGCGGUGAAAUGCGCAGAGAUAUGGAGGAACACCAGUGGCGAAGGCGACUUUCUGGUCUGUAACUGACGCUGAUGUGCGAAAAGCGUGGGGAUCAAACAGGAUUAGAUACCCUGGUAGUCCACGCCGUAAACGAUGAGUGCUAAGUGUUAGGGGGUUUCCGCCCCUUAGUGCUGCAGCUAACGCAUUAAGCACUCCGCCUGGGGGAGUACGACCGCAAGGUUGAAACUCAAAGGAAUUGACGGGGACCCGCACAAGCGGUGGAGCAUGUGGUUUAAUUCGAAGCAACGCGAAGAACCUUACCAAAUCUUGACAUCCUCUGACCCCUCUAGAGAUAGAGUUUUCCCCUUCGGGGGACAGAGUGACAGGUGGUGCAUGGUUGUCGUCAGCUCGUGUCGUGAGAUGUUGGGUUAAGUCCCGCAACGAGCGCAACCCUUAAGCUUAGUUGCCAUCAUUAAGUUGGGCACUCUAAGUUGACUGCCGGUGACAAACCGGAGGAAGGUGGGGAUGACGUCAAAUCAUCAUGCCCCUUAUGAUUUGGGCUACACACGUGCUACAAUGGACAAUACA
rnacentral:rRNA from 1 species